UUCUUACAUCUUUUUAAAUAUAUUUCUAAGAACAGGUCAUCCAAAAUUUGAGAUAUUUCACAUGAAGAACAUGUAUGGAGGCUGACCUGUAUGCCAGUUCAGAUCCGUAGAGCCAGGUGUGCACUGCAUUUUAAAACUGGGAUAGUUUGGUUGGAAGAGUAUCUGCGCCACUCUGGCUUCUUUGGUUGAUGCAAGUUCAUGGAGGUGACCAGAUAAAAAGCUGCCAUUGUGGUUUCUCUUCAUGGAUUGCUUUGCGCUCCUCC
rnacentral:lncRNA from 1 species